rnacentral:rRNA from 1 species
CCUACGGGCGGCAGCAGUGGGGAAUAUUGGACAAUGGGGGGAACCCUGAUCCAGCGACGCCGCGUGUGGGAAGACGGUCUUCUGGAUUGUAAACCACUGUCCCCAGGGACGAAAAUGACGGUACCUGGGGAGGAAGCUCCGGCUAACUACGUGCCAGCAGCCGCGGUAAUACGUAGGGAGCAAGCGUUGUCCGGAAUUACUGGGUGUAAAGGGAGCGUAGGCGGGGAUGCAAGUUGGGUGUCAAAACUACCGGCUCAACCGAUAGUCGCACUCAAAACUGCAGCUCUUGAGUGAAGUAGAGGCAGGCGGAAUUCCUAGUGUAGCGGUGAAAUGCGUAGAUAUUAGGAGGAACACCAGUGGCGAAGGCGGCCUGCUGGGCUUUUACUGACGCUGAGGCUCGAAAGUGUGGGGAGCAAACAGGAUUAGAUACCCCAGUAGUC